rnacentral:rRNA from 1 species
GCAAACUGCGAAUACCGGAGAAUGUUAUCACGGGAGACACACGGCGGGUGCUAACGUCCGUCGUGAAGAGGGAAACAACCCAGACCGCCAGCUAAGGUCCCAAAGUCAUGGUUAAGUGGGAAACGAUGUGGGAAGGCCCAGACAGCCAGGAUGUUGGCUUAGAAGCAGCCAUCAUUUAAAGAAAGCGUAAUAGCUCACUGGUCGAGUCGGCCUGCGCGGAAGAUGUAACGGGGCUAAACCAUGCACCGAAGCUGCGGCAGCGACGCUUAUGCGUUGUUGGGUAGGGGAGCGUUCUGUAAGCCUGCGAAGGUGGCCUGUGAGGGUUGCUGGAGGUAUCAGAAGUGCGAAUGCUGACAUAAGUAACGAUAAAGCGGGUGAAAAGCCCGCUCGCCGGAAGACCAAGGGUUCCUGUCCAACGU